AAGCAGUUUGGCAACAAUAAUUCCAAGGUUCAUUUCAUCAAGUACUCUAAUCAGUAACAAUGGUUGGUGCCUCUCGUGGUUGGUCGUAUUAUGGAUGUCUCUUGUGCUACUUACAUAUUGGUUUGGCACUGGUGUGAUUUUCAGGCUUGGUAAACAAGAAGAUCCUGACUGUGCAGCCAGGUAUUCGUAAAGAUAUUCUCUGUUCCUCUUGUCUUGACUACUGAGAAAGAGAAUAGAAGGACAAUCCCGCCACCUUCACCAUUAGACUAUCAUGCACAAGUCGUUCUGCAAGAUGGCCAACACUGUCAUGACAAGGUAUUAGCAUUAAAACAACCUUAUCAUUCUUUUCUGUUCAUUGUGAUGCUAGGUAUUCUGAUUAAGUAUCCAACUGGUUUUGGAAAUGUGUAUUGUGAUGUAUCCCAAUAUGUAAGAACGAACCCUCUGCUCGCAUCAUUGGUGAAAUAUAACCGUUUUAGAAUUCUAUGUAGGGAGUCUAUGUUAUGAAUUCUAUAGGUGCUAAUGUGCUAUGCCUUUAAUAAACUUGGAAUUC
rnacentral:lncRNA from 1 species